AAAUACCGGUUUCUGAAAGAUCACAUGAGUUAAGCGACGUCGAGCCUAGUCAGUACCUAGAUGGGUGACCGUUUGGGAAUACCACGUGUUGUAAG